UGGGGAAUAUUGCACAAUGGGCGAAAGCCUGAUGCAGCAACGCCGCGUGAGGGAUGACGGCCUUCGGGUUGUAAACCUCUUUUAGUAGGGAAGAAGCGUAAGUGACGGUACCUGCAGAAAAAGCACCGGCUAACUACGUGCCAGCAGCCGCGGUAAUACGUAGGGUGCAAGCGUUGUCCGGAAUUAUUGGGCGUAAAGAGCUCGUAGGCGGCUUGUCGCGUCUGCUGUGAAAACCCGGAGCUCAACUCCGGGCCUGCAGUGGGUACGGGCAGGCUAGAGUGCGGUAGGGGAGAUUGGAAUUCCUGGUGUAGCGGUGGAAUGCGCAGAUAUCAGGAGGAACACCGAUGGCGAAGGCAGAUCUCUGGGCCGCUACUGACGCUGAGGAGCGAAAGCAUGGGGAGCGAACAGG
rnacentral:rRNA from 2 species